rnacentral:lncRNA from 1 species
CCCCCUCUCUGGGUGGCAGACACGGGUGGCUUGUGCCGGCUGCUUUGAAGUAGAGCAACUUUACGAGAUCAAGUAUUAUUACUUCCAUUUUACAUAAGAGGAAACACAGUUUGGAUGGUUUAAACCAGUGGUUUUCAAAACUGAGCAAGCAUCAGAAUCAACUGCAGGGCUUGUUAAAACACAGAUUGCUGGCUCGCCUCCCCAGAGGCUCUGAAUUUGUAAAUCUGGUCUGGGGUCACAAGAUGUUCACGUGAACAAGUUCCCAGGUGCUGCUGCUGCUGCUGCUGCUGCUGAUCCAGGAACCCCAUCUGAGAACCACUGAUGUAAGUAACUUGUUCAAUGCUACACAAUGAGUAAGUGACAGAAUGAGUUUUCAAAUUAAAAAAUUUGAAUAUGUUGAAAAUAUUUUUUAUUUAUUUUUCUUAUUUAUUUUGAGAUGGAGUUUGAUCUUGGCUCACUGUAACCUCUGCCUCCUGGGUUCAAGAGAUUCUCCUGCCUCAGCCUCCCAAGUGGCUGCAAUUACAGUUAUAAAUGAAAAUAACCGGAAUUCAAAUAUACAGCCAGGAAGAAGUGUGACUACUCAAGGACUCGAAGAAAACAGAUAAACUGAAGAAAACAGGUGACGCCUUGGACAGAGAAGAUGCUGGCUGGUGGAAGACGGGGAAUUCCUAUUGCUGUGAUGGAAGAUGGAGGAAUGGGGACCACACUGGGUUUACCAUCAGGAGCCUGGGUUUCCAGUGCAGUCUCUGUAGAGAGUGGGCCAGAUGAUUUUUGAGGCCUCUUCCUCUUCUGACAUACAUAGAUGUUACUUAUUUAUACACUCAUUCAUUCAUUCAUUCAGCAAAUAUUAACUGAGCACAUUGUUUGGGGCAGGUAUUGUUAUAGACACCAGGAUAAAAUCACAGAGCCCAAUCUUUUCUCCCAUGGAGCUUACUCUCCAGUGAGAAGAGGAAGAUAAUAUAUAAAAUAAAUUAUCUAGUAUAUUAGGAUGUGAUAGGAGCCAUGGAGAAAAUGAAGGGGAGUAGACUUGGGUUGUAAUGGCCUAUAUGGUGGUAUGGUUGAGAAAUGGCUGACUUCCAUUCCCAGUGACAGCAUUUAUCACCAUCAAUAACUACCCUUUAGUUACAAAGGAGAGAAAAUUAAGUCAAAUUGGCCUAAGGACAAAAGGAAAAAUUUGGCUGCAUAUAACCCAGAAGUCCAGCAGUUGAUAGUUUUAAUGGACACUGCUGUUUUUCCUCCCAGCAUUCACGCCAUCAAUCCUUUCUGAUAUAACUCAGAUUUUCCUGUGGGUAUCUAAUGCUUUCUCAUUUGACUUCUGUACUUCCAGAGAAGGAGACCCCACCCCCAGCUCCAGGGCUUAAGCCAAUCAGCGCAUUCCCUUCCCUCACUGAUCACAGUGAUUGGUUCAUAUGUAAGAAAGGGCCCAAUGGAGCAGAAUCUCAGAAAUGCGGCUUGGGAGCUUUUAUUUACUGAUCUAGGAGGGAAAAAAUUGUUACUGGCAGCUAUCUCAUAACUAUGAGGAGGCCUGGAAAUAAAAACCUAGGAUCUUGAUGGCACCAUUGAUCCACUGAAUAAACACACUCGAGUACAUCUAUCUUAUGACUAGAUGUAUAAAUGAGCCAAAAAACUUAGAACGCUUCAAGUUGGGCUUUCUGUUAUUUAUAAUAGAUAAAAUAUCAAGUUCAGGCACAGUUACAUCUAGGUGCUCAUCAAUGACGUCAUAGAGCUCCAGUUUCCUUCUGUGAGGGCUUCACUCUCAGCCUGGCUGCCCCCACAAUGAUCACCAGCAGCCUCAUUCCUGGCAGCACUCGCCAAAGCUCUGCACUCCUCCUCCCUGGGUUACCUUGGUUCAUGUGCCCAUCUCUGAACGCAGCCCUGAGGUCAGGGGGAUAGAAUGGUGAUGAUUCAGGGACAGAUGCUCUCUCCCGGGGCCAGGUCUGCCACCUGCUUCAUUUGAAUUACAUCGUUGGAGAAAGUGGGUUGUUCAGAUUAAAGAGAUGCUACCAGAAAGGUGGUUCAUGGAUGCUGGAAAAUCAGAAAUCAUAAAAAUUCACUAUAAUACCUCACUUCCGACUUUGGGGUCUUACUUUCCUUAUGUGUAAAAUAAAAACGUUAAGAUAAAGUGAUGUUCCCCAAUAAUUUUGCUAUCAAGGAUCUCCUCUCUUGCCUUCCUUCGUUGCUCAUUGUGGAAACCUAAUUAAACUAAACUUGAAAGAUUUUUGUCUAUAAUUCAUCCAUUCUUCCAUGUACCACUCAACACACUGUUAUGGAUUGUCCACUACCUUCCAGUUUAGUUCUAGCUCUGUGAUUACAGCAGUGAAAAAGGUUGGAAGUAAUGUGAUCCGUUCUGCUAAAUGAAAUAUAAUGGGAAGUCUGCUGGUGGUUUUCUUCCUAGGUUAAAAUAUCAGAGCUUUAGAAGAAAAAAGUUUCCUGUUCAUGCCCCUUCUUCUCUGCUUGAUAUGUUGGUAUGAGGAUGUGAUGCCUGGAGCUGGAACAAAAAAUUUGCAACCAUGAGGUGGACAUGCAUGAAGACAAAGAAUUAGCAUGAGCACUGAGGAGCAGGAGGGACAAUCAAAGCCUGGGGCCAUGAUGGUUUGCACAAUCCUUGGCCUUCUGUGUUGAAUCUAGACUUAUUCAUCCAGGCUUUUUAUAAGGU